CUUUACUGUAGCCUGGUAUUGGGUUCGGGCUUUGACUGCGCAGGAUAGGUGGGAGACUAUGAAGCUGCCCUUGUGGGGGCAGUGGAGUCAUCAGUGAGAUACCACUCUGUCAAGGCUAGAAUUCUAACCGUCAGCCGUUAUCCGGCGACGGAACAGUAUCAGGUGGGCAGUUUGACUGGGGCGGUCGCCUCCUAAAUGGUAACGGAGGCGCGCAAAGGUUCCCUCAGGCUGGUUGGAAAUCAGCCGAAGAGUGUAAAGGCAGAAGGGAGCUUGACUGCAAGAGCAACAACUCAAGCAGGGACGAAAGUCGGCCUUAGUGAUCCGACGGCGCUGAGUGGAAGGGCCGUCGCUCAACGGAUAAAAGUUA
rnacentral:rRNA from 1 species